UCGUAGGUGACCUGCGGAGGGAUCAUUACACAAAUAUGAAGGCGGGCUGGAAUCUCUCGGGGUUACAGCCUUGCUGAAUUAUUCACCCUUGUCUUUUGCGUACUUCUUGUUUCCUUGGUGGGUUCGCCCACCACUAGGACAAACAUAAACCUUUUGUAAUUGCAAUCAGCGUCAGUAACAAAUUAAUAAUUACAACUUUCAACAACGGAUCUCUUGGUUCUGGCAUCGAUGAAGAACGCAGCGAAAUGCGAUAAGUAGUGUGAAUUGCAGAAUUCAGUGAAUCAUCGAAUCUUUGAACGCACAUUGCGCCCUUUGGUAUUCCAAAGGGCAUGCCUGUUCGAGCGUCAUUUGUACCCUCAAGCUUUGCUUGGUGUUGGGCGUCUUGUCUCUAGCUUUGCUGGAGACUCGCCUUAAAGUAAUUGGCAGCCGGCCUACUGGUUUCGGAGCGCAGCACAAGUCGCACUCUCUAUCAGCAAAGGUCUAGCAUCCAUUAAGCCUUUUUUCAACUUUUGACCUCGGAUCAGGUAGGGAUACCCGCUGAACUUAAGCAUAUCAAUAGGCGGGGAGGAA
rnacentral:rRNA from 1 species